GACGAACGCUGGCGGCGUGCUUAACACAUGCAAGUCGAACGGAAAGGCCCUGCUUUUGUGGGGUGCUCGAGUGGCGAACGGGUGAGUAACACGUGAGUAACCUGCCCUUGACUUUGGGAUAACUUCAGGAAACCGGGGCUAAUACCGUAUAGGAGCUCCUGCUGCAUGGUGGGGGUUGGAAAGUUUCGGCGGUUGGGGAUGGACUCGCGGCUUAUCAGCUUGUUGGUGGGGUAGUGGCUUACCAAGGCUUUGACGGGUAGCCGGCCUGAGAGGGUGACCGGCCACAUUGGGACUGAGAUACGGCCCAGACUCCUACGGGAGGCAGCAGUGGGGAAUAUUGCACAAUGGGCGGAAGCCUGAUGCAGCAACGCCGCGUGCGGGAUGACGGCCUUCGGGUUGUAAACCGCUUUCGCCUGUGACGAAGCGUGAGUGACGGUAAUGGGUAAAGAAGCACCGGCUAACUACGUG
rnacentral:rRNA from 1 species